UCUAGUGUAUGUAGUAGACUGCUUUGGUAUCCAUUUAGGUGCUCUUUGCGCUUCAUUUGCACACACCAAGUCUCGGGUUCAACAUACACCCCUAUAAGUCCAUCUACGUGAUUGUACUCGUAUCAUCCUCCUCUUCUUGAAAAGUAUUCGACCUCGAAUUCGUACCUUGCAAAAAAUAAGAGAAGAUAAGCAAGCACACAUUCUCAUGACAUGAGGGUUAGGGUUAACAAAAAUAAACACAUCAACAUGCCAUGUCGAGGGGGAAUAAAUUUGAAGUAUAUCCACUGGUCCUUUGUAUUAAACAUAAAAAGCUUAGCACAAAUGUUACAAAGGAAGUAGCUCAAAUAAGCAUUAAGACAAAAGGAAAAUAGGCUGAGACUACUCCUACCAUACUAUAAGAUGGCAUCAUGGUCAAAUGGGAGAAUUAGCCAAGGACAUGGAUUUCAGUCAUACUCCAUUUUAAAAGGGUAACUCGCGCUUAGCUUCACACCAUCACGGGAAGCCAACGAGUUAUGACCAAAACCAUUUUCACAAGUACAAUCCCAAUUUAGGUUUUCUAUACUUUCAAACAAAUCAAGGUCAUCGUUACCCAAUUGAUCAUUUUGCACACCCUCACUAGUUGUUGGCAAAUCAUAUACCAACAUAGACUCACCUUGUUUUUUACAAGGGUCCACUAAUGUGUAAGUACUCUUGUCAAUUGGUAAUGGAAACUUGUUCAAUUUAUAAGGGCUAGCACUAGAUGGACAUAAAUCAUUCUUACAAAAAGAAUUAAUUUUGUCAUCUAAAGGAUCAACUAGUGCUUCCGUACUUAUAACGAAAGCUUGGUCCUCACAUGACCUAACAUCACCAAGAGUAUCACAAUGGGGAGACUCAAACACCUCUACUUUAGGUAAAUUUGCAACUACAUCCAAUUGGCCACUUCUAUCCACAUCACAAUAUUCUAGGCUUAUAGGAGUGUAGGGGAUAGCAUUUUUACCUUGUAGAUCACAUGAGCUGCGGUCGUCACCUUCGUUCGGUUCUUGGAAGCCCACUUCUUCCUUCAUAAAGCUCUCAUUGCAAGUUGUUUGGACCUUAGAUUUUGAAUUUGUUGGGAUAAGUGUGGAUACCAAUUGGCGUAGCCUUUCAACGUUCCAUUUUAUCUCGUCAAGAUUGUCGUUGAUGCGAUUAAAUGUGGCAUCGAGAUUAUUGUCAGCCAUGGUACCUAAAAGAAAAGACACAACAAAUAAGAGAAAACAAACUAGUUAGUUCAAAAAAAAGUCUCACCACACUCUUACUCUCAAUUUUAUCUCACACUUGGUUUCACAAGUGUUGAAACUCGGCUUGUACUUUGCGAGUGAUUCAGGGUCGAGUCUACUCUUGCCCAAAAUAGAUUUUCAUUUGUGUUGACUCAAAGAAAAUUUAUUUACGGACUUGAACCAACAAGAUACAAUGAAUUCAUAAAAGAGAAAAGCACACAACAAAUGCUUAAUACGAAUGAACAAAUACAAAGACUAACUAACAAUCUAGUAGAUGAGUACUAGUUUGCCAAUUAGUAUUGGAACCAACAAAAUUGAAACUAAGGAACAACAAACGGAAACUACAAAAUUUAAAAUUUGAGCCAAAAUUUGAUGCGUGAACAGUAACUUAAUAAUGCGGCAGCCACGUAUUGGUUGCGGUCUUUCUAACGAAUUGUUAUUCUCAAAUAUUCAUGUCUUGGUAAAAAUUUAAUUUGGAUUGGUGGAAUUUGUUUUAGGAGGGAAAAAUAAGUCUUGGAGACUUUUUCAAUUUUCAAGACUUGACUUUUUCUUGUAUUUCUCCUUAAAAUAUGAAUCCUUAAAUUAUGGAAAAGUGUUGGAAAGUGGUUGAGACUUGAUUGAUAGUUCUUUGUUGGUUGUAGUGUCUUUCAAGAUUAACAAAUAAUAGACCCCUUUUCCUUCAACUUUUUGGAUUUAGCAUUCACUUUAUCUUCAACAAUAUAUGAAGGUGGUGAUGAACAUCAAGAACAACAACAACAACACCAAGAACUAUAACAAUAAUCUCCAAGAACACUAACAAAUUUCACACAGCCAACUCCACAACAAAAAAAUGCCUCACAUGGCCAAGACUACAACACUUCAACAAAAUGUUCUUAGCCCUCCAAUUUAUAACAACAUUUACUUCCAAGCUUAAGAAAAACAACUUCAACGUCCACAACAAUCAAUAAUGUUACCAAUAGACUGCCAAAGGUGAAGCCACAACAAUAAUGCCAACACAAUCGGCCAAGUUAGGUUCACAAUAGCAAGAUCAAUAUUUCAAGCUCAAAUAUAGAUUUAGACUUUAGAGUGUUAAAAAUGAAGAAAAAUAACACUAGAAACAAUAAAACAAGUAAAAAUCUCGUCCAAGGCACAACAAGAACACAAUUCUAGGCCAAGAACACAACACGGGCAGAUUGCACUUUUUCUGGAAUUUUUAAUUUUUUUUCAACAAUUUUUUUUUUUUGAUUUUUCAACUAACAAGUGCAAGAUUGAUCUUAUGGGAACAAGAUCAAUCCAUGCUAUAAUACCAAAUGAUACAAGAAGGACUAGGAAGCACGAAGCAAACACUAAAAUCAGUCCACAAGUUCAAAGAACCGAGGACCCUUUUGAUGACCACACUCGGAUUCACUACAACGAUAACAAGAAUGAGAUAUAAGGGUGUGUUUCAACCCCCAAACAACCACUGCAAACUAAUAUUAUCAAUAAAAUAUGAAUAUCACGAAGAACAAUAACAAUAUUAUAACAACAACUCAUGGGUUCAACAAACAAGCCACACAACAUUUAUAAGAUUACAAUGAACAAAAUAAUAGAUAGAUAGACUACAUAAAGGAAUAAUUUUAAGAACCCAAGAACAUAUUCCACUCUUGGACCAUUAACACUACUCACAAUAAUUCAUAUAUCUCUUACGUUGGCAUAAGAGGGACCUCGAUCUCCCAAGCCUCUAAUAUUUCCAAGUUUGAAUCCAACAUGGGUGAAUCCAUACUCAAUGUUGCCUAGUUACAAUUUCGGCAUAGGAGGGUCUUUCUCUUAAGAGAAAUGUUUUAAGUGUUAAACUUUCAUAUUCAUCAAAAUCUAAUGAAUGAAACCCUACAUUAUUCUACUUAUAGUGUGUUACAAAUAAUAGGUAAAAUGACCAAAAGGCUUCUUAGUGAAGGGGCGCCUCUUUAGUGCAUGUAGUGAACUAUUUUGGUCAUUCUAGUGUAUGUAUUGGACUAUUUUGGUGUCCAUUUAGGUGCUCUUUGCACUUAAUUUGCACACACCAAGUCUCGGGUCCAACAUACGCCCUCAUAAGUCCAUCUACGUGAUCGUACUGAUAUUAUUGAUGAAGAUGUCACUCAUCAGAUUAGGGUAGGGUGGAUAAGAUGGAGGCUCACCUCCAAAAUCUUAUGCAAUAAGAAGGUACCUCCUAAACUUAAGGGCAAGUUCUACAGAGUGGUGGUUAGACCGAUUUUAUUAUAUGGAUGGAGUGUUGGCAUGUUAAAAAGGCCCACACUCAGAAGAUGAAGGUGACGGUGAUGAGAAUGCUUUGGUGGAUGUGUGGGUAACAUAGAAUUAGAAAUCAGGUUAUUCAAAAUAAGAUAGGAGUGGCUUUGGUGGAAGCCAAGAUGAUGGAAGUGAGGUUGAGAUGGUUCGAUCAUGUGAUGAGGUAUGUGGAGGUGUGAGAGGUUGGCUAGAGAUGGUUUCAAGCGAAGUAGAGGCAGACUGAAGAAAUAUUGAAAGGAGGUGAUCAGACAUGACAUAGAGUAGCUUCAGUUUACCGAGGACAUGACCCUAGAUAGGAAGUUGUGGAGGAGGCAGAUUAGGGUGGAAGGUUAGUAUGAGCUGAGGUUGCUAUUUUUUUGCUGUAUUACUUGGUUUCUCUUGCUUAUGGUAUUAUCGGAUAUUGUUGAUUUCUACUGUAUCUUGUUCUCUUACUAUUCAUUGUCCAGAUUAUUUUAUUGUGAGCCAGAGGUCUAUCAAAAAUAACCUCUCUAUCUCACAUUUGAGGUAGUGGUAUGGACUGUGUACACUUAUCCUCCCUAGACCUCACUUUGUGGGAAUAUACUAGGUAUGUUGUUGUAAUAAUAAUUAUAUUUAUUGAACAAUGGUACACUUUAAUCAAAUUAUUCUUCAAGGAUUAAAUGAGCAAUUAAAAAGGAAUACAAAAACAAUCCAAAUGAAUCAAAUAAAAAAGAAUGAAGGGAGUAUAAUUUUGAAUGUAAAUUGAAAGAUAAGCCCUCUAACAAUAUCAAAUUGAAAAUAAAUUUAACCUACACAUUAUUCAAAAAUCUAAUUCAAAAUAAAAGUAAAACGUAAGAAAAGAAGUGUGACAUACACUGCAAACUCAUGAGUCAUGAAGAUAAUCUUCUUCUUCUCAUCUCUCUAACAACAUUUGGUUUGAUUAGAUUUUAAAUCAAAUCAAAUAAAAAAAAUUAACAUUUGGUUUGAGUUCAUUUUAAAUCAAAUCAAAUAAAAAAAUAACAUUUGGUUUGAUUUGAUUUUAAAUUUGAAAAAUUAAUAAUAUUUGGUUUGAUUUUUAUUUUACUAAAAAUAACCAUAAUUCAGGCAGGAAUGAAUUCUUCUGCAAAUCUUCUCCUCUUUUAUUUAAGUUAAGAAAGAAAUCAAUCGCGUUUGAGUUUUCGGUCAUUGAACGAAUAAAUUAUAUAUAAUAUGAUAUUAUUUUUGCAUAACUAAAUACAAAUAUUUUAUACCUUACUAUAUUUUAAAAUCAUUUCUUGAAAAAUACGAAAAAAUACAACACUUCAAGUCUAAUUAUUUAUAUGUGGUGUAGUGUAUAGUUUGUUUUUAAUUUACUUCAAUAGAUUGCUCCUUUGAUUUUCGAAAGAUUAACUAUUCCAUUAAUAACUUUAUGUUAAUUUUGUGGAUGUUAGACAUCUGAAAUGGAGUAAUCUCUAUAAUUAUGCAACGAAAAAAUACAUCAUUUCACCUCUGAACUUGUCAGCAUUACUUACUUUAGACCCUUAAUUUUACGGACAAUUAUAUACCCCUGUAACAACUUUAAAUUAAAUUAAAUUCCACCCUAAGAUUGUAAUACCAGUCUCACUAUGGUAGGUGCAUGUAUCACACACGCCGCCACAUCAUUGCUACAUAAAAAUUAUUUAAAUUUUAAUUUUUUUCCUUCCCCCUCUCUUCCAUAAAGGUAUCCUCCAUCUCUAUUAAUGUCUUGUACAUUAAUUAACUUCAUUUUUUGCUAAUUAAAGAAAUAAAUUUGACCUUGGAAAGUUCUAAUCUUCAUAAAAUACAACCCCUUUUUAUUUUCAUUGAUAAUUUUGAUUUCUUUAGUUUAUUUAGAUAAAAGAAACAAUUAAAAGAAUCAAAAAUGAAAAUUAAGGUGCAUUAGAGGUUGGGAUUGACGGAGGAAGGGGAUUGAAGUUUUGUAGAAGAAAAACAAAUAGAGGGAUUUGAAGAAGACAAAAGAGAUCACUAUAAAAAAACAACAUUUAGUGACGGAAUUUACCGACAGAUCAUAUUCCAUCACUGGAUAGCGAUGAAUCAACAAUGAAAAAAAUCAAUUUUAUCGUGAGCAUAAGAAGAUCCUUUUUAAUUUAUGAUGUAGCAACAAAUUAGCAACGGAUUUUUUUCAUCACCAAAUAUUGGCACGAAAAUUUAACGCCUUAAUUUCGUGAUGAAUUUUGCAACACAUAAUAUGUAACCAUUUUAAUUAAUUUAUAGCAACAAAUUUAACAACGAAUUGUUGCAUUAGUAAACUUUAGAAUAUUUCUAUAAAUUUUAUUUAUUAUUAGCGACGAAAUAAUCCGUUGCAAGCAUUUAUAAUUUUUAAUAAAUUAUAUUUUUAUAAUCUCAAAAUAUUUAGGGCAUGCACUUCAUUUCAGCUUCCCUAUACUUCUUCUCUCUCUCCCUCUACUUUCUCUCUCUAAAAUGCAUCAAUUCGUUUGUUCGAAGAGCUGAGAAAUUCGUAUGUGCUUGAAUCAGGUUGGAAAUUAUGUUCUCUCUCUUUUUCCCAUCUCUAAAAUGUCUCAAUUUAGGACUAUUCGAAGAAGCUGAGAAAUUAGUAUGUUAUUUUUAUUUUUAUUACUCAAUUCUUUUGAGAAUUAAUUUUUUUAAUAUUUUUACGUAUUCUACUUUAACCUGUUGUAAAUCUGUGAUUUUUGUUGAUUUUAUUUGCUCUCUGAACUAAGUCUACUACUUUAUCCCAUUAUAAAUCUGUAAUUUUUUUGAUUUUAUUGGCUCUGUAGACUGAGUCUAGGGUUCAUGCAAGCAUUUGCGGGUAGGAUUUAUGCAAAUAUUCAGGGGCUAGGGUUCAAGCAAACAUUUGACAUUAUCAAUUUUUCUUAUAGAAAGGGUUUUAAAUUCUAAGAGGUAAAACGAAAAUUAGGUUAAAAAUGGCUCAUUCUUGCAAAGCCACAACUUCCUCAAUUUCUAAACUCAAAUGGGUUUGUGUAAUUUUAUUUUUACUAAGAUAUUUUAUGCCUAAUUUUUCAGAAAAUAAGACAUUAUAAUUCUGAUUGUAUUAAAAUUGACUAUUUGUAUUUUUUUUUACUAAGUAUCAAUUUUGAAUGUAUUCUAACACAAUUAACAAUUUUAUAGUUUAAACUCUCUUAUGUGUAUUGUAUUCCUUCUAUAAUUAUUUAGUUCAUAAUAGUUCCUAUUGAUAGACACGUACAGAGGAUCUCAAUUGGAUUGAUUAGGAUUCUACUACCAUAAUUUUUUGUUCUACCCAAUCUGUUAUAUCAUUUAAAUUUGUAUAUUUUCAUAGAAGUUUUAAUUGUUAUUAUUUUUUGGUUAAUAUCCCAGAAAGUGAAGUAUUGGGAAAGUGAAGAGUAGGUGAAAAAACACUGUAAGGCUGUGUCUGGAAUUGACUGAAAUUUAGCAAAACUAUCACGUUUAAGAAUUUGGCCUAUCAGGUAAAAUAUUCUUUAGUAAAUAUGAACUUUUUAUAUGUGUUGGUAGGAGAAAUUAGGUAUUUUGAUAUUUAUCCCUUUGGUUGUGAAUAGAUUAGAUGAAGAUAUGACAUUUGGUAAUGGUUGACAAAUUCAAAAAAUGCAUCGAUUGGGUCUUAAUUUCCAAUGCAUGAAUAAUCUUGUGUGUUUUAAGCUCUGUUGUGGCUAUAUGUUUGAUAAAGGAUAUAUCUACCAAUGAUUAUCGCUCCAUAUAAUUUACCUCCAGAAAUGUGCAUGAAAGAGGCUUAUAUAUUCUUAACAAUCAUUGUUCCAGAUUUGAGCAAUCCCAAACAUAAAAUUGAUGUUUAUCUGCAAACUUGAAUAAAUGAAUUGACCUUGUUGUAGGAGAAAUGUGUGGAAGAAUUUGACAUUUCAAAAAAGAAAAAAUUUCAAUUACGGCCAGCUUUGAUGCAGAUAAUUAAUGACUUUCCAACAUAUUCUAUGUUAUCGGGAUGGAGUACUGCGAGUAAGUUAGCAUGUCCUUAUUGUAUGGAGGAAACACAAUCCUUUAUAUUACAACAUGGAAGAAAAUAAUCUAGAUUUGAUUGCCAUAGAAUGUUCCUUAACUAACAUCACCCAUUUAGGAGAGAUCAAAAGAACUUUCUUAAAGGUCAGACCGUCAAAACACCCCGUCACUAUAUAGAAUAGAGGAGGAAAUUUUGAACCAAAUUUGUAAUUUGGGGAUAAUAAAUGUAACAACAUUAGAUAUAGAAGAAUUUAAUCAAAGAAUAUGUAAUGCAUAUUGAUGGUAUAAGCAAAACAUCUUUUGGGAUUCGUCAUACUAGAGUUCUAACAUGAUUACAUAAUCUUGAUGUCAUGAAUAUGGAGAAAAUUUUCUUUUAUAAUGUAUUUAACACUGUUCUUAGUUUUGAUGAUAAAACCAAAGACAAUCCACAGUCAUUCUAGAUAUGACAAAGUAUUAUGAUUGACCUCAGUUGGGAAAGAAUAGUAAUAAAUAAUAUCCAAAAACUGUCUAUACAAUAGACAAGGAUUCAAGAGCUAUCUUGUUUAAUUGGGUAAAAGGCUUAAAGUUUCGUUAUGGGUAUGUUUCAAAUUUGGGUAGGAUAAUAAACACAUAUGCGAAAAGGUAAUUUGGUAUGAAAUCACAAUUUCAUGUGUUCAUGCAAGGAAUAAUGUCUAUUGCGUUUCGCGAACUACUUUCUAGUAAUGUGUGGAAGGCACUUACAUAAUUGAUCUUAUUUUUUAAGGAUCUUACUUAGAGCACUCUACGAGUGGGUGAUAUAGUGCGAUUAGAGGGAGAUAUUCCACAAAUUUUAUGCAAUUUAGAACGUAUAUCUCCUCCUGGGUUGUUUUACUCAAUGGAACAUCUUUGUGUGCACCUUUCAUAUGAAGUAAGGAUUGCUGGACUUGUGCAAUAUUAAUGGAUGUAUCCUUUUGAAAGAUAAAUGUGAAAAUCUAUGUCGAAAUUGUGAUGAAUAUUAAUACAUAACCUUCAAAUGUAUUGUUCCAUCUUAUUAUGUAUAUAGGUAUCUGGAACUCUUAAAAGGAUGAUUAGGAAUAAAGCUAGUGUUGAGGGCUCCAUUUGUAAAACAUACUUGAUGAUGGAGUCAACAUAAUUGUUUUCUAAUUUUUUUUAACCUUAUGUUAUGUCACGUAAUCAUAAUGUGGAUUGUAAUAACAAUGGUGGUGUUGUAGAAGAUCUUAAAGGAAAUCUUUCAAUAUCCUCCCAUCCAGAUCGACUAUGGAAAGAAGCAAAAAAAAAAAAGAGAUGGAACUCUAGAUGAAAUCAAGGCUACCCAAACUUAUAUUUUAAUAAAUUGUGAGGAGGUUGAGCCAUUUGUGAGGUAACCAAAUUCUCAUAAUAAAAAUAAAAUUUACUCUAAUAUUGUGACUUCUUAUUUAAAUUAUUUUGUUGCAAUGAAGUAUGUACCUGUAAUGUUUGCAAGAAGAAUUUCUGAAUCUCUCUCAAUGUGAAAUAGACAAGAGCCUUGAAGAAAAUUUUGCUAUAUGUUUCAAGGAAUAUGUAAGAUUUAAAUAAAUACUAUCUUUUAUAUAAUGAGGUACUUAAAUUGGCUUCUAAAAUUUAACUAAAUCUUUGAUUUUUUUUAAAUAGGCUCGGUGUAAUUCCAUUGAGAAUGAAAUACUUGUGUAAUCUUGCUCGUGGACCAUUAAUAGGAGCUACAUGAUAUUCAAUUUUUUUUUUUUAACAAAUAUAAAAUUUACACGGAAUGUAUGGUAGCUUGAGAUUGUAAGACCCCGUAGGAUCCUAGCUCAUUUCAGCUCACUCUUGCAUGCUAAAGGGGUCCAAGACUUCGAAAAUUUCACUAAGUAUUAAGACUUAGUCAUUUACAAAGCCCCUUAAACUUUGAUGAUUUUAAUUCUGACCUUCUCGGCCUUAGAACAUCAAUUUUUAAGUUGAUUCAUGAUCGGGAUGGUCGAUAGCAUGUCUCGAGAAAUUUUUGGAUUUUUCGAACGAGGUUCAAGGAUUGUUUGGAUGUUCAAACUAGAAAGUCUGCAUGAUAUGGACGUAGCGCACUGCUUAUUGCAUUGAUGAGGUGCGACACGAUGCAUUGCCUAGCGCAUCGACUGAGCGACGUGAUGCAUUACUUAUCGCAUCACUGGCCACGUUUAGUUUAAUUAAUUUCGGGUAUGUGGGGGUAUUUGAGUCAUUUUCCCAUUACUUUGCCUCACCCAUAACACGAGAUUAAGGACCCAAAAGGGCAAAAUCACUCAUCUUUUCACAAACCCUCUCAAGAACAAAAUCGUAGCUUCUUCAAAUCCAAGUUCAAGCUUCAUGAAAUCACCAAAUACUCACGAAAAUUCAUCUGUUAAGGUAUGUUAGAUGUUCAUUCGUGGGCCUUUUUACCCAUGGAGUCCAAGAAUCUACUUUAAAGUUUUAAAUCAUGACCUUUACAUGUUUUCAUGAAUUUUAUCCAUGAACUUCCAUGAAUUUCGAUUCUUAUAUCAUGUUUACAUGUGUCUUUGUUGGAAUUAUACUUUGACCCAUUUGAAGGAAUGAUAUUUGCAUGUUAAAUCCUUAACUCAUGAUUUUUGUACUGAAAUUAUGUUAUUAUGCCAUGAUUUAACUAUUCCCAUGCUUUAACUUUAUGACCCCCAUGUGUUUGAUGAAAUGCCUAAGAGAUAAAUUUUGAACAAUGACUACUUAUCAUGUUUUUGAAGCUUUAGUAUGUUUCUACUAGUAAUGUUAUCGAGUCUUGGGGGUUAUGAAUACCCAAAAACUUAGCUGUUUACUAAGUCUCAGUAUUUUCAAAAUGGUUUUGUAUAUAUUAGAGUAUUAUCAGUUCAGUCAGUUAUCAUAUCAGUAAGCUCAGUUCAGUCCAAUAUCAGAGUUAGUCCAGUUGAGAGUAGAAUUAGCACCGACAAAACCCAGGGAUGGGGGAUCACCUACCAGUUAAGGGUGUGACCUUUAGUAGAAGUCCUUGUGUUCCAGAAUUAUAUAGCCAACGUAGGUUGAGAUAUUAACCUGCCAGUUAAGGGUUGACUUAUAUCUUACUAGAGCACCUGCCAGUAGAGGGUGACUCUUUAGUCCUUCGGGACUUUACUUUAGUGGAUCCACACAACCAUUGUUAGUAACUGAGGCACGGUACUGACACCCUUCCAACUGGGGUCACAGGUUGGACCCCAAUUAGCUCAUUUUAGGGAAUGUCAGUUAGAUGAUAGCUCCCACAGUUUUAGUCCAAUCUCAGUUCAAAAGUCAGUUCAAGUUUGCUCUAUUAUAGCAUACAGUUUAUCAGUUAAAUCAGUACUUAGAUUUUAGUAUUUCAAUUUACAGACUAUUCUAGUAUCAUAUUAUAUGCUUGGUCAUGAAUUCUCAGAUUUUACAACCUUCACGCAUACUAUGCAUCAAUUAUCUCAUGCGAUUCCUUCAGUCAGUUAUUAUUCAUGUACAUGAGCCCAUACACAUCAGCCUAACCUCAUUUAGCAUACCAGUACAUUCAAAGUACUGACCACAUAAUUGUUUCUUACGUUAUGAUGUAUCAUAUCAUAGGUUCGGACGCUCAGGUUCCCGACCGCAGCUAGACCUCCCAGCGCAUCAGCAACAGUAGCAGUGGUGAGUCCUUAUAUUCUGAGGACCGAUUAUGUUAUUUUAGUAUUUUAGUUUAGUAGUCAAUUGGAGUUAUUUGGGGCCCGUCUCAUCAACUCUCAUUCAACCAGUUUUAGAGGCUUUCAGAUAUUUUGGAUAAUCAGUUGGUUGUCAGUUUUAUCAAUCAGUUUUCAGUAUUUUCACUGAUGUGUCAGACUUGUGGAUUUCAGUUGUAUUAUUUUUAGUAGUGAAACCUUAUGGCAUAUUUAGUUAUUUCUGCAAAUGUUCGUUAUCAGUAUAUUAUUUAGUUCUCACAGAAGGUACCAGCUCAUGGGUUAGAUUGUGGUCUCAGGACUAUAAGCACCGUGUGGCAUCCAGGGUGUACUCUUAGGGCGUUACAAACUUGGUAUCAAAGUCUAAAGUUUCAAAGUAUCCUAGGGAGUCUAAGAGCCAUCUUGAGUAGAGUCUUGUGCAUGGGUGUGAAGUGCGCCACACUUAUGGACAAGAGGCUAUAGGAAGUUUUAGGAAAAGUUCCCCUUCUUUUAGUAUUCAUAUCAUGCGAAUGAGCAUGAGCUCAACUUAAACUCUCUUUUUAAUUCAAUUUUCUUUCCAUUUACAAAAAAUUCCUCUCUAAAAGAAUAAUGGAAGAAGAAAUAGAAAUUAGGCUGCACCUCCGCCUGUUCAGGAAGAUCCCCUGAACAAGCAUGUCUCUUAUGUCGAAUUCAGGGCUGAAUUCACUACUUUAGCUCACUCAGUAGCAGCUCAGAAUAAUUAGUAGCCUGCUCUCACAGCCGUUCUAGUGGCUAAUACUGUCGCAGGUAGGAUUCAGGACUUCACCCUAAUGAACCCUCCUCUGUUUUUGGGGUCCAACUAUGAUGAGUAUUCGCAAGAGUUCCUUGAUAUGGUUCAGAAGGUAACUGAUAUUAUGUGUGUGACUUCUAGUGAGAGUGCUGAGUUGGUUGCUUACUAGUUGCAGGAUGUUGCUCACACCUAGUUUAAGUAGUAAAAGAGAGAUAGAGGCACAAAUGCAGGGUCAAUUGAAUGGGAGAAGUUUUCUACAACCUUUUUAGAUAGGUUCUUUCUCUUGGAGUUAAGGGAAGCUAAGGUGCAAGAGUUUAUCAAUUUGAAGCAGGGGAAUAUGAGUGUAAAAGAGUAUUCUCUUAAGUUUACUCGACUAGCCAGGUAUGCUUCUAAUAUGGUGUCAGAUGAUAGGUCUAGGGUGAGUAAGUUUAUUUCUGGGGUAGCUGAUAGCGUGGUCAAGGAGUGUAGGACAAUAAUUUUGAUUAAAGAGAUGGACUAGUCUAGGUUGAUGGUCAUUCUCAAUAGAUUGAGAAGCAAAAAAUUUUUUUUUAAAAGAGGGAGAAUAAGAGAGCUAGAAUAGAUAGCUUUAGUUUUUCUCAGCUGAGGUCAGAAGGUGGUAACCAUCCUAAAUCUCAUCAGAAAUAUUCAUCCCCAAUUCCAUCUUCAGCUAAAGCGCCAGUGCCAAAAUUCAGAAAUGAUUAUCGAGAUAGGGCGUCAGGCUCUAAGUCCCAGAGUAGUAUGUACAGUGGUCGUACAAAUCCUCUUUGCCAUAAAUAUGGUAGAAACUAUCAGGGUGUAUAGAUGUAACGCCCUGAGAGUACACCCUGGGUACCAUACGGUGGUUACGGUCCCGUAGACCAUAAGCUAACCCAUGAGCUGGUACCGGAUAUGAGCAUUGAAUAAUAUAAUAAUAUAUGCGGAAGAAUAACUGAUAAGCCAAAAAGUUUUAGCAACUGAAAAUAAUACUGGAUUAUGAAUCUGGAAACAACUGUCUGAAGCUAAUAAAAUAAUAACAAAACUAACUAUCUGUCUAAAAUAUUCGAAAGCCUCUAAAACAGACUGAAUAUGAGUUGAUGGGACAGGCCCCAACUAAUUCCAACUAGCUACUGAACUUAAAGCAUGAAAAUAGAUAUAUUUCAUCCUCAAAAUAUGAGGACUCACCACUUUUACGGCUGAUAAUCUAGAAAGUCUAUGAGCGAUCCGGGAACUAAGAGUCCAAACUUAUGAUAUGAUACAUCAUAAUACAAGAAAAAAUUAUGCGAUCAGUACUUUGAAUGUACUGGUAUGCUAAAUGAGGUAGGCUGAUAUGCAUGGUUUUAUGUACAAGAGUAAUAACUGACUGAGUGUAAACCAUAAAGUACUAAAUAAAAUGCAUGAAAUCUGUAAAUACUGAGAAUGCAUGACCAAGCAUAAUACAUGUUCUGAAUAUAAUCUGUAAAACUAAAAUACAAAAUUCUGAUAAUGAAAUGACUGAUUCUAUAUGCUAUGGUCAAGCAAAACUAAAACUGAGUUAGUGAGCUAAUUACUGGACUGAGACUGUAGGAGCUAUCAUCUAACCGAUAUGCCCCAAUGAGCAAUUUGGGGUCCAAACUGUGACCCCAGUUGGAAGGGUGUUAGUAGUAUGCUACGGAUACUAACACUGGUUGUGUGGAUUCACUAAAGUGUUAUCCCGAAGGACUAAGGGUUACCCUCAACUGGCAGGUACCCAUAUGAGAUCAACCCUCAACUGGUAGGUUAACAUCUCAACCUACGCUAGUUACGUAGUUAUGGAACAUGAGGACUACUACUAAAGGUCACACCCUUAAUUGGUAGGUGAGCCCCCAUCCCUGGGUUCACUCGGUUCUAAAUCCUACUUUUAACUAAACUGACUCGGAAUACUGAACUGUUCUAAGUUUAACUGAUUAUGAUAACUGACUGAACUGAUGGCACUUAUGAUCUAUCUGAAACUAUUCAGAAGAUACUGAGACUAGUAAACAACUAGAUUUUUGUGUAUUCAUAACCCCCAAGACUCGAUAGAAAUAAUAGCAAAAUAGUACUAAAACUUUGAGGACAUAAUAUGAAAGAAUUCAUUCAAAAUUCAUUCUUGUAGGCAUUUCAUCAAACACUUGAUAUUCAUAGUGUAAGCAAAGUAUGGGAAUAUUUAAAGCUUGUAGUAAUAACAUGAUUUCAACAUCAACAUCACUAAGUACGAUUUAAAUUAGUGAAUAACAACAUUAAAACAUGUGGGGUUUGAUAUUAACAAAAAUUUCUUGUAAACGUGGUAUAGAAUUACAAUUCAUGGGAGUUCAUGAUUGAAAUCACAAUUUAAAAUCAUAAUAACUUGUAAGGAUCACAAGUUUGAAUUUAAAAUUGGAUACUUGGGCUCCAUGGGUGAAAAGGGACCCAUGAAUGAACACUUAAUAAACCUGGGUCGAUGAAUUCGUGAGAAUUGAUGGCGAAUUCUUGAGUUCUGAUCUUGAACUUUGAAGGCUAGGGUUUUUGUUCUUGAAAGGAGAUUAGUUGCUUGAAGAGGAUUUGUGAGUAAUGGGGGUAUAUAAUGCCAUUUUAGGGUUUUAAUUUCAUGUUUUGGAUAAGUUUAGCGCCUUGGAAAAAUACCAAACGAUCCCUAAAAUUUAAAUCGCGAAAUUGGAAAUCCCAAUUUCGCAUGUCAGCGCGACGCGGUGCAAUUGCGUUGGGCCACUAGAAAAAGGACAAUUCCCAUUUUUCCCAAUGGCGUGAUGCAAUGCUAUCACGUUGUGCCUCUGGAAAUGGACGAUCCCUAACUGUAAGCUUGGUGUGACGCGGUGCCAAUUCUGGUGCUCCACUGGAAAUGUAUAAUUGUUAAAUGGCCCCUUGGCGCCACUCAUUGGCAAUCGUGGUGACACACUCGAAAAGGACGAACGUCAUUUUUGGGGUCACCGCAAUGUGGUGCUGCUCGUAUUAAACUACUGCUUUCACUAAAAGUGCCAUAACUUCUCACCCAGGUAUUAAAUUUGGGCAAAACUGGUAGCGUCGGAAAGCCAAUUCAAUUUCCUAUUAUUUGGUUGGUUUUGAGCUGAAAAAUUCUGAGUAUAGAAAAAGAGAUGCUUGUUUGAAGUUGACUAAAGCAAAACUGGUAGCGUCGGAAAGCUAAUUCAAUUUCCUAUUAUUUGGUGGGUCUUGAGCUGAAAAAUUCUGAGUAUAGAAAAAGAGAUGCUCAUUUGAAGUUGACUAAAGCAACAUUUUUCUAAAAAAAUCAAUCGGUAAGGGAUGUUUUGAUUCGUCUAAUAGUUGGGAGUUAUUUAAGGCCUUAAUUUACCUCAAAAUCACUCAUAAAACUACCAAAGAGCUAUAGUAUACUAUGCAUGAGUUUGAAACAUGGCGCUAACAUUGGUUUGAAUUUUUUGGGGUAUUAUAAUAUCUCCCCCUUGGGAACAUUCAUCCUCAAAUAAGACUGGUUAAAUUGAAAACACUAAGGAACUGAGAUUACAUGCUGGAUAUACGUGAUGAAAGCAUUAUUACAUGGUUGAGUCUAAAACAUGACAUAUGACUGAACUGGUUCUGUGAAUGCAUGACCGAUAUGAGAAUGAUAUGCAGCUGAAACUGGGCAUGGAGAAGAGAAAUUAUAAGGAGAUGUUUACCUUAAGUAGAGUAUGAGUUUGCGGAGGAAAGAUAUGGGUACUUGGUUCGCAUAUAUACUUCUUCUUCCCAAGUUUCUCCCUCCACGGACUGAUUCCGCCAAAGAACUUUGACUAGGGGAACUUCUUUGUUCCAUAGUCUAAGAAUUUGUCAAUCAAGGAUUUCUAUUGGAAUUUCUUCGUAAGAAAGGUUGUUCUGAACAUCUACACUUUCUAAGGGAACAACAACAGCUGGGUCUCCAAUACACUUCCUCAAUAAGGAGAUAGGUAAUACUGGGUGUACUAAUGAUAAGUGUGCAAGUAACUUAAGCUCAUAAUCCACCUUUAAGAAACGACUCAUAAUCCUGUAAGGGCCAACAUAUCGGGGACUAAGCUUCCCUUUUUUACCAAACCUCUUUACUCCUUUCAUGGGAGAAAUCUUCAGAUAUACGAAAUCACUAAUCUCAAACUCAAGAUCUUUCCUCCUCACAUCUGCAUAAGAUUUUUGUCAGCUCUGUGCUGCCUAAAGCCUCUCCCUGCCUUAAGGCAUCAAACACCAAGUUAGGCCCCACUACCGCGGCCUCACCUACUUUAAACCAACCAAUCAGAGAUCUACAUAUCCUUCCAUACACAGCCUCAAAUGGAGCCAUUUGAAUGCUGGAAAGAUAGCUAUUACUAUACGCGAAAUCAAUCAAAGGUAAGUGGUCAUCACAACUGCCCUUAAAGUCGAUGACACAUGCUCUCAACAUAUCCUCAAGGGUCUGAAUGGUCCUUUAUGCCUGACCAUCUGUCUAAGGGUGAAAUGCUGUACUGAGGUGAACUUGGGUACCAAGACCCUUUUCAAAAGCUUUCCAAAAGUGAGAGGUAAAUUGAGUACUUCUGUCUGAAAUGAUAAAGAAUGGAACACCGUGUAACCUAACCAACUCUCUAAUAUAGAGUUUGGCAUAGUCCUCAACUGAAUACGAAGUAUGGACUGGAAAGAAAUGGGCUGAUUUGGUCAUCCUAUCUACAAUGACCCAAAUCAAAUUAUUCUGAUGAAGAGUACGAGGCAAACCUGUCACAAAAUUUAUGUUCACUACCUUCCACUUCCAAGUGGGAAUACUAAACUCCUGCAUAGACCCACUAGGCUUCUAAUGCUCAAUCUUAACCUGCUGAUAAGUAGAGCACUUAGCCACAAACUCUGUAAUAUCCCUCUUCAUCCUACUCCAACAAAAAAUUUCUCGUAGAUUGCAGUACAUCUUCAUGGCCCCUGGUGGAUAGAGUAACACACACCAUGCGCUUCUACAAGAAUUUGCUGUCUCAACUCAUAAACACACGACACAAACAUUCUACCCUGGAAAUGCAUCACACUAUCUCCUCCAUGGGAGAAAACCUCUACUUUUUGAUCUUUGACUGACUCCUUUAGUUUCACCAGACUAGGAUCUCAAUCCUACUUUUCUUUCACUUCAACAACCAAAGAAGAUUGUGAACUAUUCUGAACCCAAACUCUACCUUUAGCUAAAUCAACAAAACAAACACCUAACCUGGCAAGCUGAUGAAUUUCUUUAACUAACUUCUUCUUAUCACCCUUGAUAUGAUCAAAACUACCCAUAUAUAAUCUAAUAGGGCAUCUACCACUAUAUUUCCCUUUCCCGAGUGGUGCAAAACACUCAUAUCAUAAUCUUUCAGCAACUCUAACCAUUUUCUAUAAUGUAGAUUCAAAUAUUUCUAUGAAAACACAUACUACAAGAUUUUGUGAUCUGUGAACACAUUAACAUGCACCCCAUACAAAUAAUGCCUCCAAAUCUUUAAGGCAAUCAUAACAACUGCUAACUCAAGAUCAUGGGUAGGAUAAUUCCUUUCAUGGGGCUUAAGAUGUCUAGAGCCAUAGGCCACAACUUUACCCCCCCCCCCCUGCAUCAAAACACUCCCUUAACCAACUCUGGAAGCAUCACAGUACACAACAAACCCAUCUAAACCAUUUAGCAAUGUCAAAACUAGGGCAGUCAUGAGUCGAGUCUUCAACUCCUAAAAACUCUUAUCACAAGAAUCUAACCACUUAAGCUUAACUUUCUUCUGAUUCAAUCUGAACAUGAGGGAUAAAAUAGAUGAAAACCCUUUAAAAAAUCAUCGGUAAUAGCCAGCUAAACCAAAGAAACUCCUAAUAUCUAUAGAGAAAUGGGUCUGGGCCAGUUUCUCACCGCUUUGGACUUUUGAGAAUCAACUAUAAUUCCAUCACUAGAAAUAAUAUGUCCAAGAAAAGCUACUGAUCUUAGCCAAAAUUCACACUUACUGAAUUUAGAGAACAACUGAUGGGCUCUAAGAGUUUGCGAUACUAUUUUGAGGUGGUCUGCAUGAUCAUUUUCAUUACGGGAGUAGACAAAAAUGUCAUCAAUGAAGACUAUGAUGAACAUGUCUAAGUAAUUCUUGAACACUCGGUUUAUCAAGUCCAUAAAGGUUGUUGGGGAAUUCGUGAGACCAAAGGACAUGACUAGAAACUCAAAGUGACCAUAUCAAGUUCUAAAAGCUAUUUUUGAAAUGUUACAUUCUCUGACUCUGAGCUGAUGAUAGCCGAAUCUGAGGUCCAUCUUAGAAAAUUAACUGGCACCCUGAAGUUGGUCAAAUAAGUCAUCAAUUUUGGGAAGUGGAUAUUUGUUUUUAAUUAUGACUUUGUUCAACUGACGGUAGUCAGUGCACAUUCUAAGAGAACAGUCUUUCUUACGCACCAACAAAACUGGUGCACCCCACGGUGAGAUGCUGGGUUGGAUGAAUCCCUUAUCUAGGAGAUCUUUCAACUGCUCUUUCAAGUCUUUGAAUUUGGCUGGAGCCAUUCUGUAUGGUAGAAUAGAGAUAGGUCGAGUAUCUGGAAGAAGGUCUAUUUUGAAGUCAAUUUCCCUUUUGGGAGAAACUUCGAAAAGGUCUUCAGGGAAUAUAGUUGGAAAUUCCCUCACUACUGAAGCUGAAUCAAGGUUAGGAGUCUCAGAAUUAGAGUUGUUAACUCGAAUAAGAUGAUAAAUACACCCCUUGGAUAUCAUCUUUAUCGCUCUAAGGUACGAAACAAGUUGACCCCUAAGAGUUGUAGUACUACCCCUCUAUUUAAGGACUAGUUCAUUUGAAAACUAAAAAUGAACUACUCUGUUUCUAUAAUCAACUGAAGCAUAACAUGAGUGGAGCCAAUCCAUGCCGAGAAUGAUGUCAAAAUCCGUCAUCUCUAACUCCACAAGAUUAACUGAAGUAACUUUCUGAGAUAUUGUGAUCGGACAGCUCCUGUAUACCUGCCUGGCUACAAUAGAGAUAACUACUAGGGUAGAUACUAAAAAAAGCUCUGCUAAGAUUUUUGGACUGACUCCAAAGUUGAUGACUAUAUAAGGGGUUACAAAAGAAAGAAAAGCUCUAGGGUCUAAUAAAGCCUGGCGCCCUAUCCCGAUUGUUAUUUUUGAACUAGCUGAAGAUGGAGCUGGGUCUGAAGAUUUUUGACAAAACUGAGAAUGGUUACCACCUUUUGACCUUAGCUAAUUGAAACUAAAGCUACCCGUUCUAUCUCAUUUAUUUUUCCCCCCUCUCUUUCCUUAGUCUUCUACUCCUCAAUCUGUUAAGCAUGGACCAUAAGCCUAGACAAGUCCAUCUUCUUAAUCAACAUUGCAGUCCUACACUCCUUGACAACACUAUCAAAUACACCAGACACAAACUUACUCAUCUUAGACCUGCUCUCAGCUACCACAUGAGGAGCAUACCUAGGUAAUUGAGUAAAAUUGAGGGAAUACUACUUCACACUCAUGUUUCCCUACCUCAAGUUAAUAAACUCUAACACCUUGGAUUCUCUCAACUCCAAUAGAAAGAACCUAUCUAAGAAGGCAGUAGCAAACUCUUCCUAUUCUAUAGGCCCUACAUCUACGCCUCUAUCUACCUUUCACUACAUAAACCAUAUAUGAGCUACAUCUUGCAACUGGUAAGCAACCAAUUCAGCACUCUCACUAGAAGUUACCCCCAUAAUAUCUGUUACCUUUUGGACUAUGUCUAAGAAUUUCUGUGGAUUUUCUUCAGAUUUGGAUCUCAAAAAUAGAGGAGGAUUCAUUCGAGUAAGUCCCGAAUCCUAAUUGCGGCAAUAUUAGACAUGGGGUUGGCUGGGACAGUGGCUAUCUGAACAUUGUGAGAUUUCAUAAAAUGGGUUAGAGUAGUGAAUGUAGCUUUAAAAUCUGUAUGAGAAACAUGCUCAUUCAGAGGAUCUUCCUGAAUGGGCGGAGGUACUGACUGGUUUAUAUUUCUUUUUUCGUUUGUCUUUCUGGAAGGCAUGUUAUGUGAAUGGAAGAAAGAUUAGAUUAGACAUAUAGUUUAACAUGAGCUCAUGCUCAAUCGCAUGAUAUGAACGCUGAAAGAAGGGAAACUUUUCUUAAAAUGCUACAUAGCCUCUUGUCCAUAAGUGUGGCACAUUUCACACCCAUGCACAAUACUCUACUAGAUAUGGCUUUUAGACUUCCUAGGACACUUUAAAACCUUAGGAUCUAAUACCAAAUUUGUAAUGCCUCGAGAGUCCACCCUGGGCACCACACGGUGCUUACGAUCCCGAGAGGCCACAAGCUAACCCAUGAGCUGGUACCUGCUGUGAGCACUGAAUAAUAUAAUAAUACAUACGGAAGAACAACAAAUAAGCCAUAAGGUUUUAGCAAUUGAAAAUAAUACUGAAUCAUGAAUCUAGAAACAAUUGUCUAAAACUAAUAAAAUAGUAAUAAAAUUGACUGUCUAGCUGAAAUAUUUGAAAGCCUCUAAAACUGACUGAAUAUGAGUUAAUGGGAUAGGCCCCAACUAACUCUAACUAGCUACUGAACUGAAAACAUGAAAAUAAAUAUAGUGUGUCCUCAAAGUAUAAGGAUUCACCACUACUGUGAUGUAUAAUCUAGAAAGUCUAGACGCGAUCUAAGAACUAAGCAUCUGAAUUUAUGAUGUGAUACAUCAUAUAGCAAGCAAAGAGUAUGUGAUCAGUACUUUAAAUAUACUGGUAUGCUAAAUGAGGUAUGCUGAUAUUCAUGAUUCAUGUGAGUAAUAAUUGAUUGAGUGUAUAGCAUGAAGUACUGAAUACAAUGCAAAAAUCUAUAAAUACUGAGAAUGCAUGACUAAGCAUAAUACAUGUUCUGAAUAUAAUCUGUAAACUAAAAUACUAAAAUCUUAUAACUGAAUGACUAAUAUAUGUAUGCUAUUGACAGUAUCCAAGCGCACAUGAAAGUGUACAUAGUCUUAUCAAGUAGUAAAGUGGUUUUAAGAAAGCCCAAGUAUCAAUCUCACAGGGACUUGCGUUUGCCACCUCUCCAAUUCUAGUUCAAUAAUUAAGAAAAAGUAAACAAAAAGGUUUUAGAGCUGUAAACUAAAAAUAAACUAAACUAAUACAAAAAAUUAAUGACUUUGGACAAUCAUAGGACAGAAGCCCAGGGUUAAGGCUUAAGAACAAUCAUACUAUGUUGUUGAACUUCAUUCGUUAACUCGCUUAUGUUGAUUGUUGAUUCAUAGGGUUAAUUGCAUGAUCAGAGUUUCCCAACCUCUAAUCCUUUUAUUAAUUUGAACCUUAUAACUACUUUGUUGAGUGGGGAUGUAAUAGUCUACUUAAGUUAUGUAAGCUAUCAUCCUAUGUGUGAAUCAAGUAAGUCAUCUAAGUAUAUCCCUAUCUUAGAUGCUAAUUCAAAUCUCUUAUUUUAUAAAGAAACAAGAACCAUACUUUUCUUAUUUCUAUACUCUAUCUCCCUAUUCCCUCUCCUGAGAUCAUAAGCUUGACAAUUGAUUUAUUCUAAGGGUAGCUAAUCCUUAAAAUAGUUAAAACUAGAAUAAGCAAACAACCAAUGAUGAUAAGAAAAUUAUCAAACUUAAUUCAAAACAAAAGUAUUCAUGAUCAUAUCCUUAACCCCGGAUAGGAGUUUGAGCCUUUAGUGGACAUAUUCAUCAUCCAAUCCCUUGGAUUGACGAUACAAACCAUGAAAGAAACUAAAGUUUAGAUAAUAAAACACUUAAAAGAAGUCGUGGAAGCUUCCUUAAUCCUUCAAGACAUCCAAAAAUAUGUAAAAAUAUGCUACAACAUGUAUUUAUAACAUAGGAGUAAGCCAAGUCCGUCCAGGAAUCGAAUUAGAGUGAAACGCCCAAGGGUGAAAUGGAACAUGCUAUGCACACUAUAUUCCAUAGGAAUGGAGAAUGAGAUGCAUGAAUAUUGCAUGUACAAACUGUUUUGGAUCCCUUAUGAGUAUUUUGAUGUGUUUAACACGCCCAUACUCCUUCACACAUGCCCAUACUCGGCCUGGAUAUUCUAGGUGUCCAAAUUGCAUUAAUUUUGUUAUCAUUCAUUUGUUGAGCCAUUCUGAGCCUUUUUGAGUUAUUUCCACUUUAUUUGAAGCUUUUAUAUCCAUAAUAUAUCAUCAUAAUACAUUAAAAAAGCAUACUAUAUCAUUAAAAACAACAAUUUAGAGCUCAAAACAACACACCAUCCAAAACGGAGAACUAGAAACACGAGCUAAGCAUAGGCUUCAUUCACUUUGAUUUCUAACUUAUUGUUUUGACUUAUGCCUUGAUUCAAUUGACCAUUAAACAUUACCAAUAAUUUUUUUCACAUAUAAAUACACAAUAACAACCUUAGGAACUCAUUAAACACGUUAUAACCCAAUACGAUAGACUAAACAUACACCUAGCUCAAACUAAUCACACUAGUUUUCUCGAUUGACUUCUAAAUAACCAAUUUGAAUCAAAACUUUUGUGGAAACACUAUUAAACAUUAUAAACACAUAUAUGGACACUUAGAUGCAUAUUUAUAUCAUUAUCACCAUACUAAGCACAUGAAUCAUCCUCAAAACAAAGCUAAAAGGGCUAGAAUAGCAAUGCUAAAAGGCAUAAAUUCACCCAACAUCAGCUAUGGUCAAGCAAAAAGAAAUUGAGUUACUGAGAUUAUUAUUAGACUGAGACUGUGGGAGCUAUCAUCUAACCAACAUUCCCUAAUGAGAAAUUUAGGGUCCAACAUGUGACCCCAUUUAGAAGGGUGUCAGUACUGUGCCACGGGUACUAACACUAGGUGUGUGGAUCAGCUAAAGUAUUGUCCCAAAGGACUAAGGGUUACUCUAAACUGGCAGGUACCCAUAUGAGAUCAACCCUCAACUAACAGGUUAACAUCUCAACCUAUGCUGGCUAUAUAGUUAUGGAAUGCGAAGACUGCUACUAAAGAUCACACCCUCAACUGGCAGGUGAGCCCCCAUCCCUGGGUUCACUUGGUGCUAAAUUCUACUACCAAUUGAACUGACUCGGAAUACUAAAUUGUUCUAAGUUUAACUAAUUAUGAUAACUGGCUAAACUGAUGGCACUCAUGAUCUAUUUGAAACUAAUCAGAAGAUACUGAGACUGGUAAACAACUAGAUUUUUGGGUAUUCAUAACCCCUAGGACUUGAUAGCAAUAAUAGAAAAAUAGUACUAAAACCUUGAGGACAUAAUACGAUAGCAUUCAUUCAAAAUUCAUUCUAGUAGAAAUUUCAUCAAACACUUGAUAUAGUGUAAGCUAAGCAUGGGAAUAAUUUAAAGCUUGUAGUAAUAGCAUGAUUUCAAUAUCAACAUCACUAAGUAUGAUUUAAAUUAGUGAAUAACAACAUUAAAAUAUGUGGGGUUUGAUAACAAUAAUUUUAUAUAAAUUUGGCAUAGAAUUACAAUCCAUGAGAGUUCAUGGUUGAAAUCAUAAUUUAAAAUCAUAAUAACUUAUAUGGAUCACAAGUUUGAAUUUAAAAUUGGAUACUUGAGCUUCAUGGGUUAAAAGGACCUACGAAUGAAUACUUGAUAUACCUGGGUUGAUAAAUUCGUGAGAAUUGGUGGUGAAUUCUUGAGUUCUGAUCUUGAAAUUUGAAGGCUAGGGUUUUUGUUCUUGAAAAGAGAUUAGUUUCCUGAAGAGAAAUUGUAUGUAAUGGGGCAUAUAAUGCCUCUUUAGGGUUUUAAUUUCAUGUUUUGGAUGAGUUUAGUGCCUUGGAAAAAGACCAAACGAUCCCUGAAAUUUAAAUUACAAACUGGAAAUCCUAAUUUUGCAUGUUGGCGUGAUGCGGUGCAAUCAUGUUGGGCCACUGGAAAAAGGAAAAUUCCCAUUUUUUCCAAUGGCGCGAUGCGGUGUUAUCGCAUUGCUCUUCUAAAAAUGGACGAACCCCAACUGAAAACUUGGUGCGAUGCGUUGCCAAUCGCGGUGCCUCACUGGAAAAGGACAAUUGCAAAAUGGCCCCUUGAUACUAUGCACUGGAAAUCAUGGUAACAUAUUGGAAAAGGAUGAACGUCAUUUUUGGGGGCACCGUGUUGUGGUGCUGCUCGUAUUGAGCUACUGCUUUCUCUAAAAGUGACAUAACUUCUCACCUGGGUAUUGAAUUUGGGAAAAAUUGGUAUUUUUAGAAAGAUAAUUCAAUUUUCUAUCAUUUGGCAGGUCUUGAGAUGGAAAAUUAUGAGUAUAGAAAAAGAUAUUCUCGUUUGAAGUUGACUAAAGCAAUAUUCUUCUAAAAAAUUCAAUCGGUAAGGGAUGUUUUGAUUCGUCUAAUAGCUGAGAGUUAUUUGAGUCCUUAAUAUACCUCAAACUCACUCAUAAAACUACCAAAGAGAUAUAAUAUACUAUUAUGAGCUUAAAAUAUGGCGCUAACAUUGGUUUGGAUUUUUUGGGGUAUUAUAGUAGAGCUGAUAGUGAUAUAUACUUUGGGUGUGGCAAGCCAGGCCAUAGAGUCAGGGAUUGCCCAAAUAGUGGUCAGCAGGGUCGGUCCAGUCAUUCCAUAGUUCCAUCCGAUCGCCCGACUCAGUAGGGUGCUGCAUCCAGCGCAACCAGUGGUCAGCGCCCAAAUAUAUUAUAUAAGUCCCGAUAUGGUUACUGGUACGUUACAAGUUUUUCAUUUAUAUGUUUAUGCUUUGUUAUAUCCUAGAGCAUCUCUUUCUUUUUUAACUCUCUACAUAACUAUUAAUUUUGGUAUCAGUCUUGACACUUUAAAUGAACCCUUUUCAGUGUCUACCCUAGUAAGUGUCUCUAUUAUAGCCAGACAGGUAUACAGGAAGUGUCCGAUCAUAAUAUCCCAGAAAGUCACCUCAGCUGAUCUAGUGGAAUUAGAGAUGACUAAUUUUGAUGUGAUUCUCGGCAUGGAUUGGCUCCACUCAUGCUAUGCUUCAGUUAAUUGUAGAAACAUAGUUGUUUAUUUUCAAUUUUUGAAUGAAUGAGUUCUUUAAUAAAGGGGUAGUACUUCAGCAUUUAGGGGUCAGUUUGUUUCGUAUCUUAGAGCGAGAAAAAUGAUAUCCAAGGGGUGUGUCUACUAUAUUGUUUGAGUUAAAUACUCUAGUUCAAAGAUUCCCAAUCUCGAGUCAGUUUCUAUAGUGAGGAAAUUUCCAUAUGUGUUUCUCGAAGAUUUUCUUGGAGUUCCUCCUAAAAAGGAAAUCAACUUCAGAAUAAACCUUUUUCCAGAUACCCAGCUUAGGGAGUUAAAAAAAAUGAAAUAUCUCUUAGAUAAGAGAUUCAUCAGGUCCAGUAUUUCCCCGUGAGGUGCUCCAAUCCUUUUUGUGCAUAAGAAAGAUGGUUCUCUUAGAAUAUUGAUCGAUUAUCAUCAGUUGAACAAAGUCGCAAUCAAGAAUAAGUAUCCACUCCCUAGGAUUAUUGACUUAUUUGAUCAACUUCAGGGUGCCAGUUAUUUCUCUAAGAUAGACCUCAAAUUUGGCUAUUAUCAUCUCAGAGUUAGAGAAUGUGACAUUCCAAAAAUAGCUUUCAGAACUUGGUAUGGUCACUUUGAAUUUCUAGUUAUAUCCUUUGGUCUAACAAAUGCUCCAACAACUUUCAUAGACUUGAUGAACAGAGUGUUCAAGCAGUACUUGGACAUGUUUAUCAUAGUCUUCAUAGAUGACAUCCUUGUCUAUUCCCGUAAUAAAAAUGAUCAUGUCGACCACCUUAAAAUAGUAUUGUAGAUUCUUAGAGCCCAUCAAUUGUUCACCAAAUUCAGUAAGUGCGAAUUUUAGCUAAGAUCAGUAGCUUUUCUUAGCCAUAUUAUUUUUGGCGAUGGCAUUAGAGUUGCCCCCUUAAAAGACCAAAGCAGUGAAAAACUGGCCUAGACCCAUUUCUCUAUCAGAUAUCAGGAGUUUUUUUAGGUUUAGCUGGCUAUUAUCGAUGAUUUGUUGAAGGGUUUUCAUCUAUUGCAUCUCUCAUGUCCAGAUUAACUCAGAAGAAAGUCAAUUUUUAGUGGUCAAAUUCUUGUAAGAAGAGCUUUCAGGAGUUGAAACUCCACUCACCUUAGCCCUAGUUUUGACCUUGCCAGAUGGUUCAGAUGGGUUUGUUAUUUACUGUGAUGCUUCUAGAGUUAGUUUAGAUUGUAUUUUGAUGCAGAGAAGUAAGGUCAUAGUCUAUGCCUCUAGAUAACUUAAACCCCAUGAGAAAAAUUAUCAUGAUCUUGAGUUAGCAGCUAUUGUGUUUGCCUUAUGAAUUUGGAGGCAUUAUUUGUAUGGGGCGCAUGUUGAUGUGUUCACAGACCAUAAAAGUUUGCAGUAUGUGUUUUCAUAAAGAGAGUUAAAUAUCUGUCAGAGAAGGUGGUUAGAAUUGUUGGAAGACUAUGAUAUGAGUAUUUUGUAUUAUUUGGGCAAAGUUAAUGUAGUGGAAGAUGUCCUUAGUAGAUUGUCUAUGGGUAGUGUGGCUCAUGUUGAGAAUGAUAAAAAGAAUCUGGUUUAGGAGGUUCAUCAGUUGGAUAGGUUAGGCAUUUUUGGUUGACUUAGCUGAGGGUAGUGUUUGGGUUUGGAAUAGUUUGGAAUCUUCUUUGGUUGCUGAAGUGAAAGAAAAGUAAGAUAGGGACCGCAGUCUAGUAGAGUUAAAGGAGUCAGUCAGAGAUCAGAAAGUAGAGGUUUUCUCCCAAGUGGGAGAUGGCGUAUUGCUUUGCCAGGGUAGACUGUGUGUGCCGUGUGUAGAUGGUUUGAGAUAGUGAAUUCUCGCAGAAGCGCAUAGGGCACGUUAGUCUAUUCACCCAGCAUCCACUAAGAUGUACCGUAAUUUAUGAAAAAUUUAUUGGUGGAGUGGUAUGAAAAGGGAUAUUGCAGAGUUUGUAGCUAAGUUUUCUAUUGUCAAUAGGUUAAGGUUGAGGACUAAAGAUCUAGUGGAACUAUACAGGAGUUCAACAUCCCCACUUUGAAGUGGUAAGAGAUGAACAUGGACUUUGAGAUAGGGUUGCCUUAUUCACGUCGUCAGCAUGAUUCAAUUUGGGUUAUUGUAGAUAGAAUGACCAAAUCAGCCCAUUUCUUCCAACUCCAUACUUCUUAUUCAGCCAAGGAUUAUGGCAAGCUCUAUAUUAGAGAGUUGGUUAGGUUGCAUGGAGUCUCAUUUUCCAUCUUUUUAGAUAGAGGUACUCAGUUUACCUCUCACUUUUGGAAAGCUUUUCAAAAGGAUCUUGGUACUCAAGUUCGUCUUAGUACAACCUUUCACCCUCAGACAGAUGGUCAGGCAGAGAGGACCAUUCAGACCCUAGAAGAUAUAUUGAGAUCUUGUGUUAUCGACUUUAAGAGUAGUUGGGAUGAUCACUUUCCAUUGAUUGAGUUUGCCUACAAUAACAGUUAUCAUUCCAGUAUUCAUAUGGCCUCAUUUGAGGCUCUGUAUUGGAAGAUAUGUAGAUCUCCUAUUAGUCCAGGUAAUUAGAGAAAGGCUUCAGACAUCCCAAAGCCAUCAGAAAUCCUUUGCGGAUAUACGUAUGAGGGAUCUCGAGUUCGUAGUUGGAGACUUGGUUUAUUUGAAAAUCUUUCCCAUGAAGAGAGUGAAGAGGUUUGGAAAGAAGGGGAAGCUUAGUCCCUGAUAUAUUGGCCCUUACAGGAUCUUAAACUGGUUUGGAAAAGUAGCUUAUGAGCUUGAGUUGCCUGCAGAUUUGGCAUCAGUGCACCCAAUGUUUUACAUUUCUUUGUUGAAAAAGUAUAUUGGUGAUCCAGUUGUUGUUGUUCCUUUAGAAAGCUUAGAUGUUCAGGAUAGCCUUUCUUAUGAAGAAUUCCUAGUCAAAAUAUUAGAUUGCCAGAUUCACAGACUAAGGAACAAAGAAGUUCCCUUGGUCAAAGUUCUUUGGCGGAAUCAGUCCGUUGAGGGAGCCACUUGGGAAGCAGAAGCAGAUAUGCAAACCAAGUACCCUCACCUUUUAUCCGCAAACUCAGAUUCAGUUCAAGGUAACAGUUUUCCCUUAUAUUAUCUAUUUUCCAUUCUGAGUCCCAGCCAUAUGAUCAUAUUCAUGUCAUUGCAUGCAUUCACGAAUUAGUUCAGUCAGUCACCAUGUACAGACUCAGUCAUGUAAUCAUGUUUCAGCAUUGGAUAUUCAAUAUGUAAUUUUAGUACCUCAGUAAUUCUUUGCUUAACCAGUCUUAUUCGAGGAUGAAUGUUCCCAAUAGGGAGAUAUUAUAAGACCCCGUAAGAUCCUAGCUCAUUUUAGGUCACUCUUGCAUUCUAAAGGGGUCUAAGACUAGAAAAUUUCACAAAGUGUUAAGACUUAGUCAUUUACAAAGCCUCUUAAACUUUGAUGAUUUUAAUUCUGACCUUCCUGGCCUUAGAAUGUCGAUUUUUAAGUUUAUUCAUGAUUGUGUGGUCGAUAGCAUGUCUCAGGUAAGUUUCAAAUUUUCUUGAUGAGGUUUAAGGCUUGUUUGGAUGUUCGAACCAAUGAGUCAACGUGAUAUGUCCGUGGCGCGCUACUUAUCGCAUUGGUGGGGUGUGACAUAGUGCAUCACCUAACGCAUUGACUGAGCGACGUAAUGCAUCACUUACCGCGUCACUGGCCAUAUUCAUUUUAAUUAAUUCUGGGUAUGUCAGGGUAUUUGAGUCAUUUUCCCCUUACUUUGUCUCACCCAUAACAUGAGAUUAAGGUCCCCAAAAGGAAAAAUCACUAUCUUUUCACAAACUCUUUUAAGAACAAAACCCUAGCUUCUUUAAAUCCAAGUUCAAGCUUCAAGAAAUCACCAAGAACUCACAAAAAUUCAUCAGCUAAGGUAUGUUAGAUGUUCAUUCUUAGGCCCUUUUCACCCAUGGAGUCCAAUAAUCUGCUUUAAAGUUUAAAAUCAUGACCUUUAUAUGUUUUCAUGAAUUUUAUCCAUGAACUUCCAUGAAUUUCAAUUUUAUAUCAUGUUUACAUGUGUUUUUGUUGGAAUUAGCCUUUGAUCUAUUUAAAGGAUGAUAUUUGCAUGUUAGAUUCUUAACCCAUGAUUUUUGUACUGAAAUUAUGUUAUUAUGCCAUGAUUUAGCUAUUCCCAUGCUUUAUGACCCUCAUGUGUUUGAUUAAAUGCCUAAGAGAUGAAUUUUGAACAAUGACUACUUAUCAUGCUUUUGAAGAUUUUGAAUGUUUCUACAUGUAAUGUUAUCGAGUCUUGGGGGUUAUGAAUACCCAAAAACUUAGUUGUUUACUUAGACUCAGUAUUUUUAGAAUGGCUUCAAAUAUAUUAGAGUAUUAUCAGUUCAGUCAGUUAUCAUAUUAGUAAGCUCAGUUCAGUCUAGUAAUCAGAGUCAGUCCAGUUAGAAAUAGGAUUUAGCACUAAGAAAACUCAGGGAUGGGGGCUAGGGGCUCACCUAUCAGUUGAGGGUGUGACCUUUAGUAGCAGUUACUGCAUUCCAGAACUAUGUAUCUAACAUAGGUUGAGAUGUUAACCUGCCAGUCGAGGGUUGCCAUAUAUCUCACUAGAGAACCUGCCAGGAGAUGCUGACUCUUUAGUCCUUCAGUACUUCACUUUAUUAGAUCCACACAACCAGUGUUAGUACCCGUGGCAUAGUACUGACACCCUUCCAACUGGGGUCACAGGUUGAAUCCCAAUUAGCUUAUAUUUAGGCAUGUCAGUUAGAUAAUAGCUUCUAUAGUUUCAUUCUAGUCUCAGUUUGAAAGUCAGUUCAGGUUUGCUUGAUCAUAGAAUACAGUUUAUUAGUUAAAUCAGUACUCAGAUUUCAGUAUUUCAGUUUACAGACUAUUCUAGUAUCAUGUUAUAUGCUUGGUCAUACAUUCUUAGAUUUUACAACCUUCACGCAUACUAUGCAUCGAUUGUCUCAUGCUAUUUCUUUAGUCAGUUAUUAUUCAUGCACAUGAGCCCAUGCACAUCAGCCUCACCUGAUUUAGCAUACCAGUACAUUCAAAGUACUGACCGCAUACUCAUUUUUUGUACUAUGACGUAUCAUAUCAUAGGUUUGGAUGCUUAGGUUUUCGACCAUAGAUAGACCUCCCAGCACAUCAGUAACAGUGGCAGUGGUGAGUCCUCAUAUUAUGAGGACCAAUUAUGUUAUUUCAGUAUUUCAGUUCAGUAGUCAGUUGGAGUUAGUUGGGGCCUGUCUCAUCGACUCACAUUCAGUCAGUUUUAGAGGCUUUUGAACAUUUCAGACAAUCAGUUAGUUGUCAAUUUUAUCAGUCAGUUUUCAUCAUUUUUGCUUAUGUUUUAGACUUGUGGAUUUUAGUUGUAUUGUUUUUAGUAUUGAAACCUUAUGGCAUAUUUAGUUGUUUUUGCAUAUGUUUGUUAUCAGUGUAUUAUUCGCUCACAGCAGUUACUGGCUCAUGGGUUAGCUUGUGGUCUCUCAGGACUGUAAGCACCAUGUGGUGUCAAGGGUAUACUCUUGGGGCAUUAUAGAUAUCAACAACGAAUAGUGGAGUUUGUAUCUCAAAUCUAUAUUUUUGUGAUUAUUAUGGGCGGAUAAAAGAGACUAUACAAGUGGAAUACUGUGAAGCACCUUUAAAGCAAACUAUCUUAUUCAAAUGUGAAUGGUUUGACCCAAUAAUGGAUAUUGGUGUUAAGAAGCAUAAUCAGUACAAAUUGGUUGAUAUUUACCAUCGUCGUCGGUCUAAAAAAUAUAAACCUUUUAUUCUUACAAUACAAGCAACUCAAGUAUGUUAUGUACUUUAUCCAAGAAAGAAAAAGGACAAAAAUUAUUGGCUAGCUGUAUUGAAGGUCAAACCUCAAAAUGUUAUUAAAUUACUAGUUGAGGAUGUGGUGACAACUUCAGAAUUGAAUGUUUCUUUUCAAGUUCAAGAAGUUGAAGUCCAUGAGAUCGAUAUGUCUGUUUCUAUUGAUGAAAGUAUACUCUCGGAUGAUCCAAAUAGGGGUGUACUUGAAAUGAAUGAACCCAUUAAUGAUGGUUUAUUUAAAGAGCAUCAUAAAAUUCAAGAUGAAUCUACAGAAGAAAAAUAUAAAACUGAGGAAACUGAGGAGGAUGAGGAAGAUAAAGAGUUUGAAUAAGACAUGGAUAGUGACUAGAGCUUGAUAAAAAUCUACUUUUUUUAUAUUUGUUGUAUUUUUUUUAGUAAGAAGACAUAGAUAGUGACAAGAGCUUGAUAAAAAUUUACUAUUUUAUCUUUGUUGUAAUUUAUUUUUAGUAUUUUUUCUCAAAAAUAUUGUCAUUUCCUUAGUUUCUUCUUUUCAGCUCUUUUUUAAAAAAUAAAGACAACAUCUUUGUACAUAGUAAAAGCAACUCCUGGAGAGUGUUGUAAAAGAGCAAAACUGAAGAUUAAAACACUAUUUGUGAUGAGUCUUAGGUAAGCAUAUAAAAAACAUGGGAAGAAAAUGUGUAUAUGUUUGAAAGAAACACCCAAAACCCUAAUUUCUCUAUCAAAGAAAUCCUCAUCAUCGUCGUCAUCGAUAGUAUGGCCAGUCUGGCCAAGGAUCAGAUUACAGAUAGUGGUCAAAAAUGUAAUUUGUCCUUUGUUACUUCUGAAAAAUAUUUUCACAAAUUAUGUCACCCAAAAUCUUCUAAUAAAAAUCCUGGUAUGCCGACUGAGGUAGCUUCGAAGUCUGAUGUGUUGCCUAUGUCUCCUUCAAGUAUGGAAAAUCAGAAUAUUGUUGAUGAGAAAAAGGCUUCAAAAUUUAAGUUUGUAGAUUUAUUGAAACCUUUGAACUCUUUGCAUCCAAUAAGCAAACAUGAUCAAAUAUCCAUUCUUGUGAAGGAAGUGGAAUAUAAAAAUGUGGUGCCUAGAGUUACCUGGAUGGAAGAGGAGGUGGAUAAGAUGAACAUAAUUGAAGAAUGGCAAUUAGUAGUGAUUGAUAAAUUUUCUUAUGGUUGGUUUGAGUUGGAAGAUUUACGUACACAAAUUCCAAAGAAAUGUAAGAUCAAAGGAGAGUAUAAAAUUGGUUUUCUGAGGCACAAACAUAUUCUAAUGCGAUUCAAGUUGAUGGAGGAUUUUGUGAAUAUGUUAUCCAAGAAUUUAUAUUAUAUCACUACAAGAGAUGGGAUAACAUAUCAGAUGAGACCUUUUAUCUAUGAUGCUAAUUUCAAACAUGAAGAAGAUACCACAUAAGCAAUGACUUGGAUCUCUUUCCUUGAUUUGCUUCCUAUAUUUUUUGCAAAGGAAUCAUUGUUUUCAUUAUCUUCAGCUGUUGGAAAGCUAAUCCAUCUGGAUUUAACCAUGAUUAAUAAAACUCAUCCUAGUUUUGCAAAGGUUAAAGUUCAAGUUAAUUUUACUGAAAAGCUUCCGGAAUAUGUGGAACUAGAAGUGUAAAAUGCUAAAACUAAUGAAACAAGAGUACAAAAAGUGAAGAUUCAAUAUGAUAUGUUGCCAAAAUAUUAUCAUACUUGUAAACUUCAAGUUCAUUUGGAAGAGGAAUGCAGAAGCAUACAUCCAGAACUAAAGCAGGAGGUAAAAUUUGAACAGUAGAGAGAUAGAAAGAAAAAAAGAUGGCUUAUCUGAUAUUCCACUUUAGAAGAGAUUCAUAAAUGGUAAAUUGGUGAUUGCAAAAUGAAAUCCUACUAGUAGAAUAUUGAUGGAAAAGGGCACAACUAAACUAAUAAAUGGUUCUAAUGAAAAGAUACAGUCUGUAAAAAAAGGGAUUAUGUCAAAAACUCUUUUUGAUGCUUUACAGCAUGAUGAUAAUGCAAUAGUAAUAGAAAAGGGGGAUGUGCAGUUAUCCAAUAGUAGUAAUAAGAAGGGGGAUAAUGUUAUCAAUGUUGAUUCUACAAGUUUAUACAUUAUGCAGCUUCAACCAAAAGAACCCCAUGAUUUCAUACUAAAGACUAAGAAUCAAGGCAACAUUACUAAAGGUAGAAAUCAAUGUAAUAUUAUCCACUCACUGGAUAACUCAAAAGCUAGAAGCAUUAUUCAGACAAAUAGCUCAAUCAAUAUAGAUGAUAGUAGAGUAGAUGAGAAUAGAAAAGAAGCAAUAAAAAAUUCUAAUCGAAAUCAGGUUGGGGAGGGUUCUAAGCAAAAUUUUGUAGGAAUACUUGCACAACAUAAUGAAAUCUUUGAGAGGGAGAUGGUCACUGUAGUGAAUUCAAAUAUAGAAAAAUACUUAGCAUGUGCUACCUAUCAUACUUCUUUGCAGAUAGAUGCAUCAGAUGUAAGGAUGCGUUGUUUGGAAGGUAUUGAAAAUAAAAGUAGUCCUAGUUCAACAUAUCAGCAAAAGGAAUUAAUAAUAUUUAACUGUGAAUUUGUAGUAGUAGAAAUAUGCAUAUAAUUAGAUCCUAUUAAAUCCCUUCAUAAUCUAUUUUCUCAUUAGUUUAAGAAGGAAAUAUAGAAGGAUAAGGAACAUAAAGUGAGUACAAAAAUUGAAGAUAAAGUGGAAGUAGAAAAUUAUCAAAGUGUUGUACAAGUGAUGUUGGAAGCUGAUUUGUCUUCACAAACAAUGAAUAAGGUUAGAAAAGGUAAAAGCAAGGUAGAAAAUAUUCCAACAAGGACAAAUCCUAAGAUGAGUGUGAAAUCUAGUAAGAAAUAUUGUUGAAAACACUAUUUUGGAAUGUCAGAUCUUUAAGAACUCAAAAUUCAUUACACAGAAUACAGAUGUUUCAUAGAUUUCAUAAAUUCUCCAUUGUUGCAUUAAUGAAACCUUUUCAAGAUAGAAGACAAAUUUACAAAUAUAAGAAGAGAUUGGGAAUGAACUAUGCCAAUUACAAUUGUAAUGGUAAAAUUUAGGUGUUAAUUCAAGAUCAUAGGCAGGUCAAUGUAAUGAAGAUUCAUAGCAACAACUAACAUUAAAGCUUUAGUUUCUUGAAACUGAUCAGAUUAUGGUUAUAACUGUUAUGUAUGCUAAGUGUAAUACUAAAGAGAGAUUGAAACUAUGGUAUGAUAUAUACUCUCUUAGUAAUAAUAUGUGUCUACCUUGGUUAGUAGGUAGUGGCUUUAAUUUCAUAUUAAGUGAUGAAGAAAAGAUUAGUGGGCUACCUGUAUAUCCUCAAGAAUUUAAAGAUUUUGCUUUUUGUAUUAAUUCCUGUGAACUGUUUGAUAUCAAUUUUAAAGGGAAUCCUUUUACAUGGUGGAAUGGAAGAGAUGACCAUAAAUUUAUUUUUAAAAGACUUGAUAGAAUGUUUAUGAAUCAAGCUUUUCUAGGUUUGCAUGGACAAGUUGCAGUGGAACAUCUGGCCAGAACUGGAUCUGAUCAUGCACCUUUGUUGCUGACCUGUGGUGAAUAUUCCAAAACUGUUAGAAAAUCUUUCAGGUUUCUUAAGUUCUGGGUGGACAUGAGGAGUUUCAAAAUAUUGUACUGGAUAAUUGGGUGUCUGAUGAAGAUUUUGAUAUUCUUAUUAGUCUGAAGUAGAAGAUUAAAAGAACAAAAUCAUCAUUAUUUAUGUAGAGAAAGGAGAAAUUUAGAGGUAUUUUUGAAUUAAUUAUGAUCAGAGAAGAAAUUGUGAGUAUAAAAGAAUCUUUAUUUGAAGAUGAUCCAUUAUUUGAAAACAUAUGUCUUUUACAGAGGGUACAGGCUGGAUUGAAGCAAUAUUUAAAAUAUGAAGAAGAGUUUUGGCGACAGAAGGCUGGGAUUCAAUGGUUUAUAGAGGGAGGGAAAUACUAGAUUUUUUCAUAAUUUAGUAAAAAGGAAAAUAAAGAGACUAUCUAUUAGUAGAAUUCAAAAUGGUAAUGGUGACUGGAUAGAAGGGGCUGAGUAAGUGGCAGAUGAGGCAGUAUCUUUCUUUCAAAAUCAGUUCACAGAAGUAGGAGUUAGUACCAACUUUUCCUGGAUUAACCACAUUCCUACAAUUAUUUUUUAUGAGGAGAAUUCAGUGAUUAAUGGUAAAACAUCUAUAGAUGAGGUAAAAAAAGCAGUUUUUGAGCUUAAUGGGGAUAGUACAAGUGGUCUAAACACCCCGCACUUUUGGGCUAAAGUUGAACUGUAUUUUCUACAUUUGUAGACCCAAACUCAGAUGAUUUCUACUUAUAUAUGAGUGUGAAUAACACUUCAUUACUAUUGGAACAUCCUUGGAGAUGGAUAUGCACCAUAAAAAUCUCCUAGCUUAAAAGUUAAGUUGAGCACUUUCCUAUCGAUUGACUUUUAGUUGACGAUUUUGCAUAGGUAAAAUUCUAGAGAACAUUUAUCCUAGUAUAUAAAGAUCCAUGUGGCCUACUAUAUAUCCAAUUAAAGCUCUUUGAUUCUUCUUUCUAAUGUCACCGAGCGUUCGUCAAUUUGAGUUCGAAGUCAAAAGUUAUGAAUGUAUGAAUGAGGCACUGUCUAGGGUGUGCAAUGGCCAUGCUCCACACACCAAUCGCAAAAGUACACUGCCUCAGCUAUGCUUUGUCCAUGAGAUGCACACCCUAAGGUAUGUGAUGACCAUAUGAUGUAAAGCCAUUCUAGGGCAUCAAAAAGUGUUUCAUUUGAUUUAUUUUAAGGGAAUAAAGGUCUUUUACCAUCCCAUAACCAUUCCUAACCCUCUUUGGAUGAAAUUAAGGCAUAUUAUAUGUUAUAUUGCCUCUAUAAAAUCCCUAGUCAGCUCUCCAUUAGCAAGAAAGGAUAAACCACCUAAGGUUUGAAGAUUUUGAUCUCCAAGGGUAAAUCUAUCUACGCUCUCUUUGAUUUUUCUCCAUCAAAAGGUAUGUGGGGCUAUCCUAAAUCUCAUUGGCAUGGGUUUUACGAUUUUAAAAAGCUUAAAAGUUAUAUAUGUAUAUAUACGUAUAUAUAUAUAUAUAUGUAUAUAUAUAUAUAUAUGUAUAUAUAUGUAUAUAUAUGUAAUGAGUUUUGAGAAAUUGUUUUAAGAGCAUACAUUAUGGACCCAAUUCGAUGAAAGUAUGUAUUUGUCAUGGGUUUUUUUUUCAUAAGAUUGAUUUAUAAUCUCGUACAUAUGUGAUUUGAGUUCAAAAAGUGAUUUAUGAAUGUGACUUGUGAAAUUUCCUUCCCCAUGAUGAAAUUUAUGGUCUUUGUAUGGCAUGAAUUGUGAAUUAUUUUGAGAGCACGAAUUAAAAGUCCUUUUUUGAUCAUGAGAUUAGUGUAUAACCAAUGUUGGAGCUGGUUUAUGAAUGAUGACAAAUCUUGAAUUUUAAAUUCCUCUUGAACCACUAUUCAUUAUUAUUUUCAUGCGUUUAAGAGGAGUAUUUCUUAUGUUAAAGGCUCUUAUGUCUUAACAGAAAAAAAUGCAUGUGUUGAAUAAAUGCAUUGACACCAUAUGUUAAAGAUUUGUAAAGAGAGUAUGUGCAUGAGUUUACAUAUGCUUUUGAAAAUAAGAACUCUCGUGUGAUUUGAUAAAAUCUUUUGGCGGCCAUUUGUAUAUUUUUGAAUGAGAAGCUAGUCAAUUCUUUCAAAGCUGCUGGAAUAUAGUUGGGAAUGAUGUUUUAAAGAUAGUUUUUGCUUUUUUUUUAUGAACAUACUUUACCUAAGUCUAUUACACAUACUAAUUUGGUCCUAUUACCAAAAAAGGAUAUGGUUUAAUCAUUUUUAGAUAUGAGACCAAUUAGUAUGAGUAAUUUUCUUAAUAAGGUCAUAUCUAGAAUUUUUCAUAAUAGAUUGGAGUGAUUUCUUCCCUUUUUAAUUUCAAUAAACCAAUCUGGGUUUGUAAAAGAAAUAAUAAUAAUUAAGAAUGUGCUUCUAGCUCAAGAAAUUAUUACUGAUAUUAGUAAUAGGGGGAAGCUGACUAAUUUAGUUAUUAUACUAGAUAUGGUAAAGGCUUAUGAAAGAGUAAAUUAGAAGUUCUUGUGCUUUUCCUGCAGAAAAUAGGUUUUGAUGAUAGAGUGAGAGAUAGAAUUUCAGGAUUGGUGGCUAAUAAUUGGUAUUCAAUUCUUCUUAAUGGCCAAGCUUUCAGAUUUUUUCAUUCUACUAGAGGUGUAAAACAAGGUAACCCUUUAUCUUUAGCCUUAUUCAUCCUUGCAGCUCACAUAUUAUCUAAAGUUUAGAAUUCUCUGUUUACUAAUGAAAACUUUAAAGUUUAUGGUAUGCCUAAAUGGAGUAAUGAGAUUAAUCUUCUUGCUUAUGCUAAUGACACAAUCAUUUUUGUGUCUGUUGAUGCUGCUUCUCUGUAAUUACCAAUGAAUAUUAUACAGGAGUAUGAAGUACAACCAGGACAACUAAUUAACAGGUAAAGAGCUCAUUUUAUGAUUACCAUAAAAUUGCUUAAGUGUUGAUCAAACAGGUGGAGGAUAUCACAGGAUUCAAAAAAGGUAGUUCCCCUUUAAUAUACUCGGGUUGUCUAAUUGGACAUACAAGAAAAAGGAAAAUUCACUUUACAGAGUUAUUGAAGAAAGUGCAGAAAAAAUUACAAGUUUGGAAAGGUAAGCUUCUUUCAUUUGGGGGAAAGCAGUACUCAUAAAUAAUGUUUUAUGCAGUAUUCCCAUCUAUCUAUAACCCUUCAUUAUUCCUCCCAAGUGUGUGAUUCAUUUUUUUGCAUAGGAUUUUUGCUAAAUUCCUGUGGAACUUUAAAGAUAAGGGUAGAAACAAACAUUGGGUAGCAUGGGAGGAUGUUUGCAAACCCAAGGAAGAAGGUGGAUUAAGUUUUAGAUCUCUUUUUUAUAUGUCUAAAGCAAUGUUUGCUAAAUUGUGAUGGAUUUUUAGAACCCAAAAAUUAUUGUGGACAAAUUUUAUGUGGAAUAAAUAUUGUAAAAAAAUUUGUCCUCAAUUUAUAGAGUGGAAAGAUGGUACAUUGAUUUGGAAAUUAUCACGACCCGAACCGAGGCCCUGUCUGCAACGGGCAUCCCGAACUAUGAAGGCCAAAGAGACCCCUUAGCAUGUAAUCAUAAGCAUAAAUCAUAUGGUUUAAAAGUGCAGAAGAUAAACUAAAAACAUGAUAGUCCCAAACCAAACUUAAAAUUUCAUAACAUCAAACCAUAAGAAAAACCCAAGCCCAAUCUAACACACUCUACAAAGCCUCUACUGAACUAAGCAUGCUAGUCUAUCUAAGAUGCGACAAGUCCCCCGACUGGACCAUAAAAUUAAAAAAAUGACACAUAAAAGAUAUGCCUUCCAAAGCAAGGGAGGCUCACCAACUCUGAAUAUCUAAAAAUAAUAGUUGAUAGGACCACAGAAUUGUGCCUCAGAACCUAAAAUAUAGAGGGUCCAUACUCGAAAGUACUGGUAUGUAGAACAAUCCAAAGAAAAUAGCACAUACUUCAUGAAAAAUAAGUGAUAGAAUUUUGGAAACAAUUUAUCAUAAUAUAUGUAUAUAUUAAAAGCACGUGGGCAUAAUAUGAAGGCUUCAAAACAUUCUUGUAAACCAUGGACUCAACUCUUUACUUUUGUUUUGAGCUAGAUGGUACAACCUACAAUUUUGUAAUUCCAUGGGCUAUAUGGAAUCUUUCCUUGACUUGGCGGCCAAGCCCCUAAUCCAAGUUUGCUGCAAGGGAUGGAGUAUCAGUAAGGGAGACAAGCAAGAUUACAAAUCAGGGUGCCAUAAUCCCCAAUCAAAUCAACAUGCCAUGGUAGUGUACAAGAUCAUAAAGCAGGGCUUCUAACCAUAGUCCCAAAUUGGGAAAACAUGAAUCAAGGUACACAAGAUCACAAAGUAGGGUACCAUAAUCCCGUAUCGGCAAACCACAUUUCCAUCAUUGAGUCUCUCAACUCGUGCUUUCUUUGGGUAACCAUCUAACUCUUUUUAAGCCCAAUUUUAGUCUCUUAAAAACAUACUUCAUGCUUAUAAACAAAUCUUUCUCAUUCUAUUAAGGGCAUAUCAUAACAGGGUAUUGUCAUACUCAAACUUGCAAGUCAUUCAUUCCAUACCACAUAAUAUGGGAUAUCCCUUUUAUUCAAUAACAUAUUAAUGAACACCCAAAAUUAAGGCAUCACAUAAGGGAGUUUUUAUUUCUAAACACAUGAAAAAUUAUGCAAACUACUCUAUUUUCAAUACUUUAUCAAAUGGUGGUCAUCCCUUUCAUCAAUCACAUGCAAAUUCCUUAUUCGAAAACAUAAGCAUUUGUAAAUCAAGGAAAAACCCCUCUCAUUCGUUCAUAAAAUAAUAACAAUACAUAAACAUUAGCAAAAUGUUUAAACUUAAGCUUUUAACCAUCUGUGUAAACAAUCCAAAAUAUUUUUAAGACAAUGGGUUUCAUAACAAGAGAGGUAAUCACAUAAAUCAUGCUCUCUAAUAAAUUUUCAAACUAAUAACACAUGUACACAUGAAAAUAAUUAAAGUUUAGGGAAACAACCUCAUAGUUUAUACAAGAUUUCAUCAUAAAAUGGGGUUUACAAUGCAUGCUCUUCAACAAUUUCAAAACUCAUCAUAUGUACGAAAUUAUAUACCUUAAAAACUUGUUCAAUCGAUAAAUUUAUGCCCAAAGAGUUUAGGAUAGUCCCACAUACCUUAAGCUUCUUGAUUUAUGAAGAAAGCUUGAAUCUUUGGGGACUUGAAUCCUUGUGAUAUUGAGAGAAGAAGCUUGGAUUAUUAUUCUUGGGAAAGAAGAGGGUUUUUAAGUGAGUUUUUUUAGGAAUAUGGGUAGUUAAUGCCCUUUUUAGUGUUAUAAUCCGUGCUUUGGAUGUUUGGGGUUGAGGGGAAAGGACCAAAGUACCCUUUGACCCUUAAGAAGCUGAAAUAGUUAGGGGAUAGACCCCUAUUCUCUACCUAUAGUCUGUUGGAGUAGCCCCAAUGAUACAGGUCUCAGUCUGGGGGAAUAACCCCCGUUGCGCAGGCCUAUUGCCUGCCCUUACUGCCUCUCACGAAAAAAAGCCAUAACUUUUUGCUCGAGUAUCAUAUUAGGGAAAAAUUGGUAUUGUUGGAAAUCUAUCUCAAUUAUGUAUAUUUUUAUGGGUCAUGAGAUGUAUAAUUCCAUACAUAUCAAAAUUUAUAUCCAUUCAAAGUUGACCCUUGUAGAAUCGAAUAUCAAACUUCGAACAAAUCAAAGGGUCUUAGCUCAACUUUGUUCUAAGUGAUUCCUAUGAAUAUUUUUCACCUAAUAAGAAAUUAAAACACUAGUAUAAAUAUAAUAACACAUGUAUUCAAAUAUAAAUCGUGGGAUUAGAUUUUACACGCCUAGGAAUGAUGGUUUGAUGUCUAGCCCAAAAAUAUGAGGUGUUACAGAAAUAUAUGUUGGAAGCAAGAGAUAACUUUGACCAAUAGAUUUGGUGGGAACCUAAAAAUGGUCAUUCAAGUAUCUGGUAUGAUGAUUGGAAUCAAUUAGGAGCUCUUUAUUAUUAUUUACCUAUUUCUAAUGCUUCUAAUGUUCUAAUAAUUUUUAUGAAGAUGUUAGCCAAUUGUUUAGUAAUGGGAAGUGGAAUAUUGAGUUAAUGCAUCAAUUUUUCCCUGAAGAUGUAUGUCAACACAUAAUUAGUAAUGUGAAUUGUGAGAAAGAACCAGAAACAUGGGACAAGACUUAGUGGAUGUUGCAUAGCACUGGAAAAUUUUCAGUUAGAUCAGCCUGGGAAUAUAUUAGACAGAAAGGUAUUAUUUCUAAAACUUUAAGGAGUAUAUGGUUAAAGGGUGUGCCUUUUAAAAUAUCUUUCUUGAUAUGGGGGUUAUGGAAGAAAAGGUUGCCCAUUGGAGAAGUUAUAUCUAAUUGGGGGGCAAUUGAUAAUAUGAAUUGUUACUGCUGUGAAGGUGAUGUGGUUGAAUCUUGUGAAUAUUUAUUCAUGGAAUGUUCAGAUUCUAAAUAAUCGUGGAGAAAUUUCGAUGUAGGUACAAGUAUUAAAAGACCUUUUCUACAAAUUAAAUAUAUUAUUUACAAGUGGUGGAGAACUAUUACUGUUCCUAAAUUAAAAUCAGUUCUUAAAGAUGUUCCUUUGAUUGUCAUAUGGAAAAUUUAGAAGAGAAGGAAUAUGGUAAAAUAUGUCUCUACACAUCAUAAAACUGGUGAUUAAUAGAAAUUUAUUCUAUAAGGUGCAAUGUAUUUAUCCUUGGCUGUCUAACAUUCCACACUCAUGGAUUGAUAUUGUACAAUUUCUAAAGGAAUAUUUUCCAAAAAUAGAUUGUAAAGUUGUGACCUGAAAAGUCCUUAGUAUUGGUAUGUUUAAAUGUAACUCAGAUAGGGCAUCAAGGGGCAAUCCAAAUCCCAUUUUUGGUGCAUAUUGUAUGAGAAAUAAGAAUGGAGAUCUUAUUUUUGUAGAAGGGAUAAGAUUAAAGGAGGGAUAUAACUGUAAUACAGAGGUUGUUGCAUUCAGAAUGGGACUGGAAUACUGUGUUUAGCAUCAAUAUGUCCCAUUAAUUAUGGAAACUGAUUCAUUGAUGAUUAAAAACAUUAUUGAUGGGGAAUAAAAUAUUUCAUGGAUUAUUGUGGUGGAAAUUGAAAAGAUCAAGGCAUUGAUGCAAAACAUAUGUGUUCAAGUAGUGCACACACUAUAGAGAGGCAAACAAAAUGGCAGAUUUUAUUGCUGACCAUGUUUUCUCUUUUGUAGAUAUGGACAACAUUCAGUAGUCUAAUUUCCAAGAACUACCAAAAGAAGCAAAAGCCAUUUUCUUAAUGGAUAGGAGUCAAACAACUAAUCUACGAAAAGAAAAUUUCAAAAUAGUCAAUUUAUUGUCAGAGAAAGGAUUAUGCAGCUGGUAUAGGAGAUUCAAUACUUAAAGAGUAUAUCUAAAAUAAAACUUAUGAAUACAUUAUUUGGGAAUAAUAAAUUAAUACAAUGGAGAGUCAAUCGAGCUAUACCUAUUACAUGCAAUUUCAAUAGAAAAAAAUUAGUCCUCAUAACAUUAAAAGUUGUCACUAACAUCAAGAUGGUCCUAACCAAAGGAUAAAACUUGGAUAUGAAGCAUCUUGGUUAGGUGAUGAUGGAUCUAAAAUGUUCAAUUGCUUAGACAGUGGAAUUACCUUUUUUGGAGCUCAAUCUGUCAAGGAAGAGAAGAUUUGGGGAAAUCAUUUACUUAAUUGGAUGACUACAUAAAUAAAAUAGGUAGAUAUACUUAUCUUAAGCGAGAUUGACAGGAUCCGUUGAAAUAAGAGCUAAAGAAGUCUUCUUCUUGAUUGAUUUAUGGUAUUUGUAAGACUUGAAAAUGCCCGACAUAAACACAAUCAAGACUCUACUUUUCUUAUGAUGUUGUCACGCGAAUGGAUAUAAGAUUAUCUUCUUAAUCUUUGGUGGCCAUGAUUGAAAGAUUGAAGAGUAAAGAACAUAGGCAAUUGAAGAAGAUUCUAGUAUUGUGUAGUUGUUUUUUUCUUUUCUCUUUAUUUCUUAUUUGGGUCAUUAUCGGUUUAAGGUUUCCAAGACUUGAUAAUGGGCUUUUAUUGUACUAUUUGGAUUUAUUUUAUUUUGAAUCAAUAAAAUGGCUUAACAACCUACUUAAUUUUUUAAAAAAUAUGUUUGAAAGAAAAAUUUGGAUGUCUAAUUGAUCAAUUAAAUGGUCAAUCUGUCAAAGACUUUAUUUUCUUUUUAAUAUUCUGUAGUUUUACA
rnacentral:lncRNA from 1 species